GAUGAACGCUGGCGGCGUGCCUAAUACAUGCAAGUCGAGCGAAGCGGGGACGGGUGAGUAACACGUGGAUAACCUCCUAUAAGACUGGGAUAACUUAGGGAAACCGGAGCCAAACCGGAUACUUUUCGAUGGAUACGUGCUGCAUUAGCUAGUUGGUAAGGUAACGGCGUACCAAGGCAACGAUGCAUAGCCGACCUGAGAGGGUGAUCGGCCACACUGGAACUGAGACACGGUCCAGACUCCUACGGGAGGCAGCAGUAGGGAAUCUUCCACAAUGGGCGAAAGCCUGACGGAGCAACGCCGCGUGAGUGAAGAAGGUCUUCGGAUCGUAAAACUCUGUUAGUAGGGAAGCGGUACCUAAACAGAAAGCCACGGCUAACUACGUGCCAGCAGCCGCGGUAAUUC
rnacentral:rRNA from 1 species